GACGAACGCUGGCGGCGUGCUUAACACAUGCAAGUCGAACGGUGAAGCGCCUUCCUUUUUGGUGGGUGUGGAUGAGUGGCGAACGGGUGAGUAACACGUGAGUAACCUGCCCCCUUCUUCUGGAUAACCGCAUGAAAGUGUGGCUAAUACGGGAUAUUCUGCGUCUGUCGCAUGAUGGGUCUGGGAAAGAUAUUGUUUCGGUGGGGGAUGGGCUCGCGGCCUAUCAGCUUGUUGGUGGGGUGAUGGCCUACCAAGGCGGUGACGGGUAGCCGGCCUGAGAGGGUGGACGGUCACACUGGGACUGAGACACGGCCCAGACUCGUACGGGACGCAGCAGUGGGGAAUAUUGCACAAUGGGGGCAAGCCUGAUGCAGCGACGCCGCGUGAGUGAUGGAGGCCUUCGGGUUGUGAACCUCUUUCGCCAGUGAAGCAGGCCUGCCUCGUUUGUGGGUGGGUUGACGGUAGCUGGAUAAGAAGCGCCGGCUAACUACGUG
rnacentral:rRNA from 1 species